rnacentral:rRNA from 1 species
ACUAACAGGAUUCCCCUAGUAACGGCGAGUGAAGCGGGAAGAGCUCAAAUUUGAAAUCUGGCAGUCUUCGAUUGUCCGAGUUGUAAUCUAUAGAGGCGUUUUCCGUGCCGGACCGUGUCCAAGUCUCCUGGAAAGGAGUAUCAAAGAGGGUGAUAAUCCCGUACUUAACACGACCACCGGUGCUCUGUGAUACGUCUUCUACGAGUCGAGUUGUUUGGGAAUGCAGCUCAAAAUGGGUGGUGAAUUCCAUCUAAAGCUAAAUAUUGGCGAGAGACCGAUAGCGAACAAGUACCGUGAGGGAAAGAUGAAAAGCACUUUGGAAAGAGAGUUAAACAGUACGUGAAAUUGUUGAAAGGGAAACGAUUGAAGUCAGUCGUGUUCUUUGGAUUCAGCCAGUUCUGCUGGUCUACUUCCUUGGAACGGGUCAACAUCAGUUUUGUCCGGUGGAUAAAGGUAGUAGGAAUGUGACUUCUCCGGAAGUGUUAUAGCCUAUUAUCACAUACACUGGGUGAGACUGAGGACUGCAGCUCGCCUUUAUGGCCGGCCUUCGGGCACGUUCGAGCUUAGGAUGUUGACAUAAUGCUUAACAG